ACGGGUGAGUAAUGCCUGGGAAAUUGCCCUGAUGUGGGGGAUAACCAUUGGAAACGAUGGCUAAUACCGCAUAAUAGCUUCGGCUCAAAGAGGGGGACCUUCGGGCCUCUCGCGUCAGGAUAUGCCCAGGUGGGAUUAGCUAGUUGGUGAGGUAAUGGCUCACCAAGGCGACGAUCCCUAGCUGGUCUGAGAGGAUGAUCAGCCACACUGGAACUGAGACACGGUCCAGACUCCUACGGGAGGCAGCAGUGGGGAAUAUUGCACAAUGGGCGCAAGCCUGAUGCAGCCAUGCCGCGUGUAUGAAGAAGGCCUUCGGGUUGUAAAGUACUUUCAGCAGUGAGGAAGGCGGGGACGUUAAUAGCGGCCUUGUUUGACGUUAGCUGCAGAAGAAGCACCGGCUAACUCCGUGCCAGCAGCCGCGGUAAUACGGAGGGUGCGAGCGUUAAUCGGAAUUACUGGGCGUAAAGCGCAUGCAGGUGGUUUGUUAAGUCAGAUGUGAAAGCCCGGGGCUCAACCUCGGAAUUGCAUUUGAAACUGGCAGACUAGAGUACUGUAGAGGG
rnacentral:rRNA from 1 species